rnacentral:rRNA from 1 species
AACCAGAAGGCGCAAUGAAAGUGAAGGCACGGUCGCCGUGCUGAGGUGAGAGCUGUCACCCGGCAGCGCAUCAUCGACCGAUCCCAUCCGCUCCCUCGUGGUGCGGCGGGAUUCGAGUAAGAGUGCAUCUGUUGCGACCCGAAAGAUGGUGAACUAUGCCUGAAUAGGGUGAAGCCAGAGGAAACUCUGGUGGAGGCCCGUAGCGAUUCUGACGUGCAAAUCGAUCGUCAAAUUUGGGUAUAGGGGCGAAAGACUAAUCGAACCAUCUAGUAGCUGGUUCCCUCCGAAGUUUCCCUCAGGAUAGCUGUAGCCCGAAGCAGUUUUAUCAGGUAAAGCGAAUGAUUAGAGGUAUCGGGGAAGAAACUUCCUCGACCUAUUCUCAAACUUUAAAUAGGUAAGAAGUCCGACUUGCUCAAUUUGAAGCCGGACACAGAAUGCUGGGUUACUAGUGGGCCAUUUUUGGUAAGCAGAACUGGCGAUGCGGGAUGAACCGAACGCCGAGUUAAGGUGCCAAAGUCGACGCUCAUCAGAUCCCACAAA